ensembl:lncRNA
GAAGAAAUGAAACCCCUCCUACACCGCUGUCCCCUUCCCCCCUUUUUUUUUUACCUCAAACUGCUCCCCACCUCCUCCCAUAGCACCCCAUACCCCCGCGUCCCUCUUGCAGCGCACAUCUUGUCUUCUCCUGAACAGCAUUCUGCUCCUGCAGGCUGUGUUGUCAUAUCCAUUCUAUAUCCCCCACACCCCCUCCCACAGAGCUACAUAGCUCCUCAAGUACUUUCUCUGACCGGGUACACCUCCCCCACCGCCAACCUGGGACCUCGCAGAGCCCCACAGUCCCCAGCAGCACCCCACGUCCCCCACGGUUCUUCAAGGAUCCCUCCGAUUUGAGGGAGGCUCAGACCUCCCUUUAUGCCUCAGACCCCUCCUGUGUUCUCCGACUCCCACAGUCCCUGACAGGACCCCCAUCACCAUCCCAGGACCCCCGUAGCCCACUGAUGAGGAACCCCGCAGCAAUCCACAUCUCAGGAUGGGGCUCCAGCUGUGCCCCAAUGCCUGCAUUAAAGAGAGGAGAAUGAAUGAGUGUAACGGGGCACCUUUCCUCCUGACAUUACCAACUGCCUGCGUGUUGGCUGUGCCACAUGAGCGGCAUUUUGUCCUCGAGCUGUGAGUGCAGCCUGCAGGACGGCACGGAGCGCUGACAGAACCAGG